AUGAAAUAUGCAAUCUAUUCCUCCCCUAAGACACACUUGAGAGUUCCGCACAAAUCGGAGAAGCUCCAUGGCUGCGGAGGAGAAAACUUCUGUAGACCUCUGGAAAUUUGGGUCUUAUUGAAAUGUCUCUUUCGCCUCCAAGUAGGCUGGAAGUCCCCUGGGAUAGACUUUCUGGAAGGCAGCCGCAGCCUAUACAGACUCCAGAAAUCCGCUGAGCAGACAGGGCCCCUUGCACCGCCCGCCUCAGGCCUUCCCGGCGGUUCUGAAUCUCUGGGGCGUCCGGGCUGGGGUUGGGGCUGCGGAAGCAGGGGUGGGCGGGCCGCGGCGGCAGACCCCCGUUCCCGCGCACGCUCGCCCAGACCUGGCCUCCUGCUUGGACUUCGCUCUCGUUUCGUUGAAAGCGGGCUCGCAUCGCCUCGCCUCCGCCAGCCCUCUGCAACCAAACCCCCUCCCCUCCCCGCCGCACCCCGCUAUUUUCUGUUGGGGCCGACGUUUGGGGCAGGUCAGGGCCCGGGAAUUCCGCUCGCAGAAUUCUCCGUUUUUGAAGACGGUUCCCGCUGCGCCCUGCGCCCCGGUGCGGAUGCAGGGCACUGGGCUCCGGGUGGCCGCUCUCGUGAAACAGCGCGAAUCGUGGCGUCGCCUGCACCGCACGUGGCUGGCACGGCCGCAGGCUCCCAGGGCCGGAGCAACAGGAUCCCCCGGGGGCCGCCGCUGCCCCUCCGCCCUGGCGGCCUUUUGCUCUGGAUCCAUGCGGCAGCCUGGAGCGCCCUCUCGAGCAAACGGUUUGGAGGCCGCGGGCUCACAGGGGAUCUUGCUCAAACGAAAAGAGCGAGAAUUUAG
rnacentral:lncRNA from 1 species